GCUCAAUGAUUUUUUAAAUUGCUGUAGUAUUAUAACUAUACAAAGGUAUUGAAAUAAGAUUUUAAAUGAGUGCUAAGAGAAUGGAUGAAUGUAUAUUGAUUGUUUUUUUUUAAAAAUUAAAAAUUGAUUUAAAAAUGAAAAAGUUUUUAUAAAAUAGUGGGACAAGAAGACCCUAUGAAUUUUUAUUAUUUUAUAUGAAUGUUUUUUAUAAAAUAAUUUAAUUGGGGCGAUUAAAAAAGAAUACUUAUCUUUAUUUAGAAUUUAUUUUUUAAAUUUAUGAAAAAAUACUCUAGGGAUAACAGCAUAAUUAUUUUGGAUAGUUCAUAUAGAUAAAAUAGUUUAUGACCUCGAUGUUGAAUUAAAGAACCUAUUAGAUGAAGUUAUUUAAUAAGGUAGAUUGUUCCUCUA
rnacentral:rRNA from 2 species